rnacentral:rRNA from 1 species
GACGUAGGGGGCAAGCGUUGUUCGGAAUUAUUGGGCGUAAAGCGCUCGUAGGCGGGACAGGAAGUUCGUGUUGAAAGACCUCGGCUCAACUGAGGGACCGGCUCGAAUACUCUUGUUCUUGAGGCAAUCAGAGGGUGAUGGAAUUCCCGGUGUAGCGGUGAAAUGCGUAGAGAUCGGAAAGAACACCAACGGCGAAAGCACUCUGCUGGGCCGACACUGACACUGAGAGACGAAAGCUAGGGGAGCGAAUGGG